AUUGAACGCUGGCGGCAUGCUAACACAUGCAAGUCGAACGGUAACAGGUCUAGCUUGCUAGAUGCUGACGAGUGGCGGACGGGUGAGUAACGCGUGGGAAUCUGCCUUCUAGUGGGGGAUAGCCCGGAGAAAUCCGGAUUAAUACCGCAUACGCCCUACGGGGAAAGCCGGGGAUCUUCGGACCUGGCGCUAGUAGAUGAGCCCGCGUGAGAUUAGCUUGUUGGUGGGGUAAUGGCCUACCAAGGCAACGAUCUCUAGCUGGUCUGAGAGGACGAUCAGCCACACUGGGACUGAGACACGGCCCAGACUCCUACGGGAGGCAGCAGUGGGGAAUUUUGCGCAAUGGGGGCAACCCUGACGCAGCAACGCCGCGUGAGUGAAGAAGGCCUUUGGGUCGUAAAGCUCUGUCAACUGGGAAGAAGUUACUAUUGUUUAAUAAAUGGUAGUAUUGACGGUACCAGUGGAGGAAGCGCCGGCUAACUCCGUGCCAGCAG
rnacentral:rRNA from 1 species